CUAAGAUGUUAGCGACGGAAACUAACAAAAGUUCCGUCGCUAAAAAUGAACAAUUGUUCUCCCAGAUUCGAACCUGGGGCCUGUCUCCAAAAGAGAAGGCAUUAUAACCAAUUGAACUUGAUUACGUUUUUUGUAAUUUGUUCCAAAAUAUGUUAUUUUUGGAGUAAAAGUUUUCAAGUCCAAACACUAAAACAAUCCAUUCACUCAACUCUCUCAGAAAAACCCUAACACACUCAGAAACUUCCUCUCGACUCUCACACUCUCAUGGCCGCCACCGUCUCCUGCUCCAGUGUCGCCACCGUUGUCCUUGUCGGCGCUCCUACUCCACCGUUCGCGUGAAGCGGAGAAGCGGAGCCAGAGGCGGAGUGGCCGAACCCAGGCGGUGGCUGAACCAUAGGAAGUGGAGCCGGCUCCAGAGUCGAUCAUGACGUCGCUCACAUGCCAUCUUCACAAUUACAUUAGAACAGAUGCACAAACUCCAUCCAGCAGUGAUACUUCGGAUGAGGAUAUGGGUUAAGAAUACCUUUCAGCAAAGUUCCAUUUGGUAGAUCUAGCUGGUGUACACAUCAACAAAGGCCUUCUUGCACUAGGUUCAUGUAUCAGCUAUCCUAUGAGUGGGAAUGCAAUCCAAGUAGUUGCCUGGGCUUAAAUCAUAACUGGAAGCAUUGAUCCUUUUCUGCAGAUUUCUAGAAGCUAAUUUUCAACCUGUUUUUCCUCAUCAAGAUUAUGAUUGGCUCGGCAUCAAGCUACUGUUUUAAGGGAGGGCCACUUCUAUAUGCUUUGCUGAAUUAUGACAAGUCCAGCGUGAUUCCUAGCUGGACAUUGUAUACCUUUCUAAUGGACCUUUCAGGUAAACUACCCAAGUUUCCAGCUGCUCAGAAUCCAUGAAUCUUGAUAUUUUUUGGUUUUUUAAGCUUUGACAAUAUAGGACUUGCUAACUUGGUUCAUGGUUAAUCAGUGUCUCAAUUUUUAAAUGGACUUUAUUAUCUUUGAUAGCAUUUUACAUUUAUUAUAUGAAUUUUUUGAUCUUAUUGGUUAUUUUUUCUUGGCGAACAUGAACCCGGUAUCCUGAAGAAGGAUAAUACAAAUGUCAUAGUUUCUUAGAACACUGAAGUGUCAAGUUUACCCUGCUGGUGAGCUAGUUUUUUUCACAGUAGUUUCAUUCAUUAUUAGUUUAAUUUCAACUAGUUCCCUUCUUAUAGUUCUAUUUCCAGCCCAUAUUCCUGGUUCAAUUUUGCUCUGUUUGAUUAUUGCCUAUGAUUAAGAUGUAUUUAGUUUUGUUCAGUUCUCUGUUUUUGAGCAUUUAAAUGCGUGGUAAAUAAUUGUGUGCAUAAUAUUUUGCAUAGCAGCCAUCUUAUUAAGAUGUCAUGCGCCAAAGUGCUUUGGGUUGGAACUUGCGGUUUCAUCUCCUCUACAAGCCUCGACAUCUCUGGAUAGAGGGAACAAUCUGCUUUGUGUUUCCCUUCUGUGGAUGUGAAGCUUCUUGAAUCAAGAGGUACAUCCCUAUCUGUCUAAGUUUGAAGCUACUGAAGGGUUUGACACAUGUGCUUGUGGGUAAAAUCGUUGUUGGGACUUAACUUUAUGGGUUCUCACUAUGAUGAAUUAGAUGCUGAGUUUGAUGACCUUGUAUUUAGAUGAAUACUUAUGUAUUUGACAUUAAUGUUUUUAAUUAUGCUUUUGACGUUAAAUUACCAUGACUAUGUAUGGCUUCAUUACUAUGAUUAUGUAUG